GGCUUUCAUGUGCUGGAAACUCACAGCGCUCGGCAGAAAGAUGGGAUCUUAAAGGGAAACGACUUUUGGCUCCUUGCAAGAAAGAAACUUCUGUACAUAUUAAUCUGAUUAGCAUCUAAGGAUUUCCAAAUGAAUUGGCUUGAACCUAGCUGGGUAAAGUUUGUGCCUGUGCAUCAUGCAAGCCAGUGAUGAGUGGCUGGCUAUAGGGGGCUGAUGCAGAGUGCUGUCUCAUUGAUGGACCGUGUGUGCCUGAUCAGAGCAUUUCUAUUCAGCCUGCACUGAAGAAAACUCUCCCUGCUGCCUCCAGCAGUCUCUCCAGGAGGACACCUCGGACUAUGAUGUAAGGCUCUGAAAACGUCCCAUUUCCUGAACUACGCAGAAUACUUGGUGGAUUAAGCGGUGGCCAAUUAAGAGAUAACUGGAGAUAAUAUCGUGACCCAGCUGAUAAUGGAGGAGGGGCCUAGAAAAUUGGACGCCUGGGCUUCCUUAACCCUUUGACGAACGACGUUACCGGAGCAGACACCCCCUACUUUAAUCUCCACGAACAUAAAGACAACCAGCCAGGACACAAGAGACCUCUACAGUCAUCAGAAUGACAACAAAAACUGCGCAGGAGGAUACUUUGGAAAUAGAAAAAAAGAAUGAAAAUACAGAGAUCCCCUACAAUGUUGACCAUUCCUUCUACUUGUCAUGGAGUAUAUAUGCAACUGGAUAUCAGUAACUGAAGAGGAUGAGUUAUUGUAGUCAGAUUCCUUUAACUAAUCGAGCAGAGACCCCAGAGGUACAGAUAGCCAAAGAACAUAUUUAAGGAGUUUGCACAUGCAAGACGCUCGGAGAAUAAUGGCUUAUCUCAUUAUCUUGACUGCAGAAUUGUAAAGGUGUAAUCUUGGUUUUCUGAAGAUUAAUUGAGUACUCAUGGGUCCCAUAUAGCAAUUUGUCAAGAGCCCAACAUGUUAGUAAAGGCUAGGAUGACUAACCUAGAAGUCUGGAGCCCGGCAUCAUCUUUAUACUUCAUUGUAUUUAAGAGCACACUGAGGUCAGUGACGAAUAUUAUCCAUGAAGGUAUUCAUCACACAAUGAAGAUAAUGGAUGAAGUAGUGGAGAGAAGAAGCAACAUACUGGAUACAUACAGAAGUAAGUUCAGGUCAGCACAGAAGGACGCAGAACAGGAAAGGAAAAAAAGGAAGAGGAAAAGGCAGUUAUGUAGAAAAAAAAACUAAAGAGAUGGAGAAAACACCAAAAAAAUAUCAUGGAUGAUAUCAAGUCUCAUCAAAACUGUUGGUUACCAGCCAAUAGUCAUAAGAUCGUGUGACCCUCGUCAUGGACCACAUUGAGUGCAUAGAAUACAGCCUAUAACUUGCCUGAGGAAGAUCAAGGUCAACAGCCAUCCACAUAAAAGAAAAAUGAACAAGUGGAAACCUUGCAGGUCUUUACAAGAUUUAUACUUCACAGAUUACUUUAACAGUGCAUUGAAUGAGGAUUUGUUCAAACGUGGAAAAAAAAGAACAGGUUUUCAAUGUUUUACCCUGUAUAACACCUUGUGCACAGUAGAAUGUAAAAAUAAGACUAGACCCCUGAAUAGGGGAAAAUUAAUCAUAUUACAGCAGUCUUCUUAUCAAAGGCUUUGAAAUUAUUUUAUUUUUUUUCAGCCCCUUAGCUUGCUUUUUUAAAUUAAAAUAUCUUACUGAAGGUCACGGAGGCAUAUGGACUUGCUCAAUCACCAUAAAACAAAAGGUUUGUUUUUGUAACAUUUUGUAAUUCAGCAUUGUAGGCAACAUGCGUCCAUAUAAACAAUCUGAUUUCUUACUAAUUUUCUCAAACAUCACUUUGAAAUUUUGAAAAAUGAAGUUAAUAUAAAAAAAUGGGUUUAAAGUAAUGAAAUUUGUUAUGUACUCUUUACACAGUGCCAACGUACUCUAAUGUUCUAUACAAAUAUUGUUAUCACUCUCAUCAGUCCUUGUUCCUCAGCGGGCACAAUCACAUGCACACACUAUAUUAAUUAUUUAAUUUAAUUGAAACUUCAAUAUAUUAGUACAUACUGCAUUCAACCAGCACCCCAAAUAUUGUGUCAGUGAUGAGGACAGUGCUUCCUCCUUUUCCCAGGAAUAACUCAGUCAGUCCACCACAUGAAAUUUCAUCCAAGCCAGGCACUUUGGAUUAUGAGCUAUUUAGCAAUAUCUAUGCAGUUUGUUCUCUGAAACAUGAGGUUAAAAAUUACUCAUUUGAGUCACAUUAUUAUGACCACCAGCUAAUAUCCGGAGAAACCACCGUGUGCAGCACGGACACCAGCUAGACGGGCUAGGAGUGACUCAAUAAGGUCCUGGUAGGUUAUUACAGAUAUCUGGAGCCAUGUUGACUGCAGUGCAUCUCACAGCUGCUGGAGGGUGCGUCGGGGAGGAUUCAUAGAGGGAACAUGACGAUAGAGGUUGUCCCAUAGAUGGUCAAUUUUAUUCAAGUCUGGGG